AGUGAACGCUGGCGGCAGGCCUAACACAUGCAAGUCGAACGGCAGCACAGGGGAGCUUGCUCCCUGGGUGGCGAGUGGCGGACGGGUGAGGAAUACAUCGGAAUCUACCCUUUCGUGGGGGAUAACGUAGGGAAACUUACGCUAAUACCGCAUACGAUCUGAGGAUGAAAGCAGGGGACCGCAAGGCCUUGCGCGAUUGGAUGAGCCGAUGUCCGAUUAGCUAGUUGGCGGGGUAAAGGCCCACCAAGGCGACGAUCGGUAGCUGGUCUGAGAGGAUGAUCAGCCACACUGGAACUGAGACACGGUCCAGACUCCUACGGGAGGCAGCAGUGGGGAAUAUUGGACAAUGGGCGCAAGCCUGAUCCAGCCAUGCCGCGUGUGUGACGAAGGCCUUCGGGUUGUAAAGCACUUUUGUUGGGAAAGAAAACCUGUCGGUUAAUACCCGGCUGGGAUGACGGUACCCAAAGAAUAAGCACCGGCUAACUUCGUGCCAGCCGCCGCAGUAACAC
rnacentral:rRNA from 1 species